UGUGUAUUGGGCAGGGGACUCCAGUGUCCCCAGGAUGACCCAGGGGAGCAAGGGAAUGCACAUCUACUUGGCCCUAAGGUCUGCCAAGCAACAUGCCAUU